GAUGAACGCUAGCGGCAGGCUUAAUACAUGCAAGUCGAGGGGCAGCAUGAGUGUAGCAAUACACUUGAUGGCGACCGGCAAACGGGUGCGGAACACGUACACAACCUUCCUAUAAGUGGGGAAUAGCCCAGAGAAAUUUGGAUUAAUACCCCGUAACAUAAUGAUGUGGCAUCACAUUAUUAUUAUAGCUACGGCGCUUAUUGAUGGGUGUGCGGCUGAUUAGAUAGUUGGCGGGGUAACGGCCCACCAAGUCUACGAUCAGUAGCUGAUGUGAGAGCAUGAUCAGCCACACGGGCACUGAGACACGGGCCCGACUCCUACGGGAGGCAGCAGUAAGGAAUAUUGGUCAAUGGACGCAAGUCUGAACCAGCCAUGCCGCGUGAAGGAUUAAGGUCCUCUGGAUUGUAAACUUCUUUUAUCUGGGACGAAGAAAGGCUUUUCUAAGUCACUUGACGGUACCAGAUGAAUAAGCACCGGCUAACUCCGUGCCAGCAGCCGCAGUAACAC
rnacentral:rRNA from 1 species